rnacentral:rRNA from 1 species
CUGACCUCAAAUCAGGUAGGACUACCCGCUGAACUUAAGCAUAUCAAUAAGCGGAGGAAAGAAACUAACAAGGAUUCCCCUAGUAACUGCGAGUGAAGCGGGAAAAGCUCAAAUUUGUAAUCUGGCAGUUCUUGGGACUGUCCGAGUUGUAAUCUAGAGAAGUGCUACCUGUGCUGGACCGUGUACAAGUCUCCUGGAAUGGAGCAUCACAGAGGGUGAGAAUCCCGUCUUGACAUGG